rnacentral:misc_RNA from 1 species
CAGAUGGUUCUGGUCAUUCUCACGGCUCGGCUGGUCCCCGUUCGCUCGCCACUACUGGGGGAGUCUCAUAUUGAUGUCCUUUCCUCCGGGUACUGAGAUGUUUCAGUUCCCCGGGUUUGCCUCUUGUGACCUAUGGAUUCAGUCUCAAGAUACCUGGUUGGCCCAACCGUUGAUUGCUCGCGCAAACAACGGCAAAGCCUCAGGUGGGUUGCCCCAUUCGGAGAUCACUGGAUCAAAGCCCAUUCCCGGCUCCCCAGUGCUUAUCG